CAGAUGUGCCUCAUUUGCAUGGACGGCCCUCCUCUGGCAGAUAGUGGAGGAGAAAAGGAGGCCUCGGGCAGCCCUGCCAGCUGUGGGGACCAGGAUCUAUAUCACCAUGGCCUGGACUCCUGUCCUCCUCAUGCUCCUCUCCCAUUGUGCAGGUUCCCUGUCCCAGCCUGUGCUGACCCAGCCGCCCACCCUGUCUGCAUCUCCGGGAACAACAGCCAGACUCACCUGCACCCUGAGCAGUGGCUACAAUGUUGGCAGCUACUACAUAAAUUGGUUCCAGCAGAAGCCAGGGAGCCCUCCCCGGUAUCUCCUGUACUACUACUCAGAUUCAAAUAAGCACCAGGGCCCCGGGGUCCCCAGCCGCUUCUCCGGGUCCAAAGAUGCCUCGGCCAAUGCGGGGCUUCUGCUCAUCUCUGGGCCGCAGCCUGAGGACGAGGCUGACUAUUACUGUGCUACAGCUCAUGGCAGUGGGAGCAGCUACCUUUACUCACAGUGUCACAGAUAACGAGGAAGUGAGACA